rnacentral:rRNA from 1 species
CCUACGGGUGGCUGCAGUGAGGAAUCUUGGUCAAUGGACGCAAGUCUGAACCAGCCAAGCCGCGUGCAGGAAGACGGCCCUAUGAGUUGUAAACUUCUUUUGUACAAGGGUAAACGCAGAUACGCGUAUCUUUCUGAAAGUACCUUAUGAAUAAGGAUCGGCUAACUCCGUGCCAGCAGCCGCGGUAAUACGGAGGAUUCGAGCGUUAUCUGGAUUUAUUGGGUUUAAAGGGUGCGUAGGCGGUCGGUUAAGUUAGAUGUGAAAUCCUGAGGCUCAACUGUGGAAUUGCAUUUGAUACUGUUAGGCUAGAGAGUAGUUGCGGUAGGCGGAAUGUAUGGUGUAGCGGUGAAAUGCUUAGAGAUCACACAGAACACCGAUUGCGAAGGCGACCUUCUGGAACAUAACUGACGCUGAGGAGCGAAAGCGUGGGUAGCAAACAGGAUUAGAUACCCGAGUAGUC